GCGGAGGAAAAGAAACCAACAGGGAUUGCCCUAGUAACGGCGAGUGAAGCGGCAACAGCUCAAAUUUGAAAUCUGGCGCUUCCGGCGUCCGAGUUGUAAUUUGUAGAGGAUGCUUCUGGGCAGCCACCGGUCUAAGUUCCUUGGAACAGGACGUCAUAGAGGGUGAGAAUCCCGUAUGCGACCGGAGAGGCGCCCUAUACGUAGCUCCUUCGACGAGUCGAGUUGUUUGGGAAUGCAGCUCUAAAUGGGAGGUAAAUUUCUUCUAAAGCUAAAUAUUGGCCAGAGACCGAUAGCGCACAAGUAGAGUGAUCGAAAGAUGAAAAGCACUUUGGAAAGAGAGUUAAAAAGCACGUGAAAUUGUUGAAAGGGAAGGGAUUGCAACCAGACUUGCUCGCGGUGUUCCGCCGGUCUUCUGACCGGUCUACUCGCCGCGUUGCAGGCCAGCAUCGUCUGGGGCCGCCGGAUAAGACUUUGGGAAUGUAGCUCCCUCGGGAGUGUUAUAGCCCUUUGUGAUGCGGCGCGUCCCGGGCGAGGUCCGCGCUUCGGCUAGGAUGCUGGCGUAAUGGUCGUAAUCCGCCCGUCUUGAAACACGGACCAAGGAGUCUAACAUCUAUGCGAGUGUUCGGGUGUCAAACCCCUACGCGUAAUGAAAGUGAACGGAGGUGGGAACCGCAAGGUGCACCAUCGACCGAUCCUGAUGUCUUCGGAUGGAUUUGAGUAAGAGCAUAGC
rnacentral:sRNA from 1 species